ensembl:lncRNA
CUUGGCCCCGCCCUCACUUUCAGUGGUGAAGGCCCAGCCCCGCCUUGGGCGCAGCCAAUUGGAAUCAGCGGCGGACAACACUUGGGCCCCGCCCCAUCCAUCCGCCCAGAACACAGGCCAGAGCCGCAGCCCGGACUACAUUUCCCAGAAGGGUGGUGGUCGCAACCGGAGGCGGCCUUCCCUUGGAACUCCCGGAGCGGUACCGCCCCUCGGCCUUGUCCCAGGCCUUGGAGAAGCUUGCCGGCCUCUUCCGGUCUGGGUCUGCUUACGCAGGCGCAGUUUCACCCGGGGCCCGGCUGGCCAGGGAGAUGGGGGUUGUGUUAGGUGAGCUGUGGGGGCGGGGAGCGAGGGUGGGCGGGUCUCUGUUGUGGGUGUCAGCUGCUGGGUCCGGACGAACGUGGCAGGGGAGAGGACCCGGGGCGGAGCCUGGCCGGGCGGGGCUCCCUCUUCCUGCCUCGCGUGGAGCAGAGCUCGUUCCGCUCUCAGUGCUUGCAGGUCCCAGGUUGCACUCUCACCCUGAGGGCAGUGCCUCACCCCUGUAA